GAGCGUGUAGUUCAGUGGUAGAACGCUGUCCUGAUAAGACAGAGGCCGAUGGUUCGAUCCCAUCCACGCUCACCA
rnacentral:tRNA from 1 species